UCAAACUUGGUCAUUUAGAGGAAGUAAAAGUCGUAACAAGGUUUCCGUAGGUGAACCUGCGGAAGGAUCAUUAACAGUUCCAGGCCAAGACCCCUCGUGGGCUAGGCUACUGAACUUACACCCUGGCCCGGAAAUUGCCUCUCCCCGCCGCGUAGUAUGGAGGGGGGGAUGUGCAUCCGGGUUUCAUGUGUUCACUCUUCACCCCUUGAGAAACUUCAAACCUUUGCUUCGGCAGCUCCGUCGGCGGGCGACCGCCUUCGGGUAAGGCUGUCGGAAGCUCAAACCAAAACAUGUAGAUGAAAUGUCAUGCUGUCUGAUAUCGCACCGUUUUGAGAAAUCAAAUCGCAUUAAAACUUUCAGCAACGGAUCUCUUGGUUCCCGCAUCGAUGAAGAACGCAGC
rnacentral:misc_RNA from 1 species